GCCAAGGGUCCUCCCAGGAAGGCACUGCUCCUGUGAAGGGCCAGCCUCAAGGCUACUCCCUCUGCCCCCUUGCCCAGCCUCAACAGACAGUCAGCUCUCAAAAUAGGUGGGUGUGAGACUCAGGUACCUCCAAGGCGCCCAGGGAGAGGGCUGGACAGAGGCGGGUCACAUCAAGGGGCAGUUGGUGGAACCAUGCAAAGGACUCACCUGGGAAGAUAAACUGCUGUCUAGGAUGCAUAUAGUAGGCAGCUUUAAACAGAAGAGCAGGCCCUUCCUUUCAGAAAAACCCAAACUAGGACGUUCAGCAGAAGGCCCGGUUUCAGAGCAUAACAAUGACAGAGCAGAACACGAGAGGAGGCCUGGAGCCCCAGGGGCCAGUGACAGGUGGGGCCUGGCCUGGCACUCCACGGGCUGAAGCUGGCAGUGGGCCUGGCUGGGUCCGGAGCAAACUAGAAUAUCCCAGCCGCCCUCCUCCCCUGAGCUGCCACCUGAAACACACCGAGGGCCAAGACCAACUGCAAGGGGCCUCCUGGGAGGCCAGGGCCGGAGUUCAAUCCCGGACGGGGAACCAAAGCACCCCUUUAAGCAGCUUGUCCAGACCAGAGCAGGUAAGCCACAGAGCCCCGGAUUCCCUCGCCCCAGCCUUCUGGGCCUGCCCCAGCCCCCCGUGCUGCCUGUCCUGCUUCCUGGGAGCUCAGAAGCCCCGAGUGAGCGAACAACGCCCAGGAGAAGCCACCCCAUGCAUGGGAGGGCAGCGUUGGGAUCAGGUCAAGGACCCAGGCUUGGGGCUUCCCUGGUGGAGCAGUGGUUAAGAAUCCGCCUGCCAGUGCAGGGGUCACGGGUUCGAUCCCUGGUCCGGGAAGAUCCCACAUGCCGCGGAGCAGCUAAGCCCGUGUGCCACAACUACUGAGCCUGUGCUCUAGAGCCCGCGAGCCAC